CGUAGAGCAGACCACGGCUACGACCUUGCAGUUUCGCAUGGCGGCAUGCAGUUUGAGGUAGCCCCCGGUCAACACUACAACAACGGUGUGAAGUGAGCCCGGAUACACAUAUUUAAUAAAUAACGUUAUGAACGAGGUUUGGGUGGGGCAGUCGUUCUGCUAUAAAAAACUGAGAUUUAAAACCCAUAUCCCAAGAUGGAUUGCGACAUUUACGUUGUUAAUAUCUAAGGGCUCCAGUAACCAGGUGGACCGUGAGCUCGUUCACUCACCUAAGCAAAAAAGUGGGUGACGGCAUUCACGUAGUAUGUAGUGGACGCUGAUAGCCGCUAAAUGAGGAGUUGUAUCCUCUCCUUCACUCUUCAAAUAAUUAAGCUGAACGUAUUGUAGUGUAUAUAAUAUGCAAUGUUGCGUGUAUGUAUGUGCGAUUUCGGGCGACGCUCCUGCGAGGGCAGUCGUUUGCCUACCGCCGGCUAAGCAAGGUGUGCAAUAAAUGCCUAAUAU